AUUGAACGCUGGCGGCAGGCUUAACACAUGCACGUCGAGCGAGCGGCGGACGGGUGAGUAAUGUCUGGGAAACUGCCUGCUGGCGGGGGAUAACUACUGGAAACGGUAGCUAAUACCGCAUACCAUCAGAUGUGCCCAUAUGGGAUUAGCUAGUGGGUGGGGUAACGGCUCACCUAGGCGACGCUCCCUAGCUGGUCUGAGAGGAAGACCAGCCACACUGGAACUGAGACACGGUCCAGACUCAUACGGGAGGCAGCAGUGGGGAAUAUUGCACAAUGGGCGCAAGCCUGAUGCAGCCAUGCCGCGUGUGUGAAGAAGGCCUUCGGGUUGUAAAGCACUUUCAGCGAGGAGGCGUUACUCGCAGAAGAAGCACCGGCUAACUCCGUGCCAGCAGCCGCGGUAAUUC
rnacentral:rRNA from 1 species